UGUGGAGAGAAGGCGGAAAGGGGGUUUGCCCGGCUGCGGGAGGGGAGAGGGAGGGUGGUUGUGUUGUUCCGCUUGUCUUUUCAGCUCUUCCUUUCUGUUACAUUGUGGAUAGCUCCUAUAUCCGGUGGCUCGCCGCCGCCCGGUUGCCUCACGUUCCGGCCGGCGAGGUUAACCCAACGCGAUGCCAGUGCGUUCCAGGACCGGAACUCCUCGGGGGCACGCCCAGCCAGGUCCGCGCCCUCCUCCCGUGCAUCUACACGCUGCAGCAGGAGCAGCAGCAGGGCUCCGCAGGAGAACCUCCCCCCGCCUCCGGCGAAGCUCCGGGCGGCUAUGAGGAAGCGCUGCGGCCAGUUCCUUACUGCAGAAGGACGUUUCCGAGGUUGACGAUGGCGCUGGAGCUCUGAGGCUGCGAAUGGAGAGCGGGAAUCCUGAGAAGGCGAAUGUAGUGGUGGAUGAGUAUGUAGAUAUUGAGGAUGAGACCGCUGACUUACCAAUCAGUGGACGCCGAGAGUGGUGCUGAUGAUAGAGUGUCUCUGGUGGUUCUUCCUCAUGCACAGUGAUACUGUCGAAGCGACUGUUUCUUCUUUUCUUUUUUGAGAAACACCGUUUAUUCUUUAUCCAGUGGUUCAGGGUCAGGGAGCUCGGGGGCAGCACCUCAGAAGCUGGCAAUGCUCGUUCUCUGGUGUAGAGGAGCUCGUUCUAACAGUAGGAUUUGAGUAAGUGGAUGAUGUGAUUACUUAUUUCCGAGAUGUUCAUGUCGGCUUGGAUUUAGUUAACUUAGUUCCUAGUGGAUGGCUGGCUUUGUGGGUAAUCUGAUAGCUCAGCUCGACUAUGUCUAUAGAAGUGAAAAGUGGAGGGUACUGAGUCAUGUUGUAGUUCAUCUGGCUUUCUGAUCUGAAGGUGGUUUUAUAUUGAUGUGUUUUCUCUAGCACAUCUGUUUGUGUACGUAAUGCCAGCUGUUUUGCC